rnacentral:rRNA from 1 species
AAUAUUGCGCAAUGGAGGGAACUCUGACGCAGCGACGCCGCGUGAGCGAUGAAGGUCUUCGGAUCGUAAAGCUCUGUCCUUGGGGAAGAAGGUCUUCGGACUUGACGGUACCUAAGGAGGAAGCCCCGGCUAACUACGUGCCAGCAGCCGCGGUAAUACGUAGGGGGCAAGCGUUGUCCGGAAUUAUUGGGCGUAAAGGGUGCGUAGGCGGCCUUUUAAGUCAGAUGUGAAAGCCCACGGCUUAACCGUGGGACUGCAUUUGAAACUGGAGGGCUUGAGUAUCAGAGAGGGUAGUGGAAUUCCCAGUGUAGCGGUGGAAUGCGUAGAUAUUGGGAGGAACACCAGUGGCGAAGGCGACUUGCUGGACAUUAACUGACGCUGAGGCGCGAAAGCGUGGGGAGCAAACA